UACGUAGGGCGCAAGCGUUAUCCGGAAUUAUUGGGCGUAAAGAGCUCGUAGGCGGCUUGUCGCGUCGACUGUGAAACCCACGGCUUAACUGUGGGCUUGCAGUCGAUACGGGCAGGCUAGAGUUCGGUAGGGGAGACUGGAAUUCCUGGUGUAGCGGUGAAAUGCGCAGAUAUCAGGAGGAACACCGGUGGCGAAGGCGGGUCUCUGGGCCGAUACUGACGCUGAGGAGCGAAAGCGUGGGGAGCGAACAGG
rnacentral:rRNA from 1 species